ensembl:lncRNA
GGAGUCCCGGUUAUACAGCUUCCAGGGAUGGGCUCUGGGCGCCGUGCUGCUGCUUAAGUGGGAAAGGUUAUGACACCUCGGCUGCUGGGUUGAGACUGUCACCUGACUGGUCCCUAGGGAUCCGGGAGCCUUUCAGAGGGCUCCCAAGUACCAGAGAGUCUGGCGUUCCUCAGUUCCAUUCUAGCAGGCUUAGCCCUCAGAGCGCUGAGGAAGCAGAGGGCAGGCGGAGUUUGGGAGGGAGGAGGAGACAGAAGGAAGAUGGGAAAGAAAGGAAAGGCCUCUUCAGAACCCUAGGAGACUACAGCACAAGCGGGCAUGCCUCCCUCUACAAUCUGGCAGCGCGACUAGGAGAAAAGCCAUUACAUCACAGAGCAAUUGUGAACAUCAAAGGAAAAAACGUCAAGAAUUUUAAAUGGAAGACAAAAGAUCUGUGGAAAAGAUCAGGAAAAACCCCAACUGGAACUGACAUGGGCAGAGAAGGAAUCUUAUGGGUAUCUCACAGGAGGGGAAGCACUGCACAGCUGAGGGAGAGCAGGAAUUCAGUCCUCCAGGAAGCAAUGUGACCAGAACCAAGUACUCACAACCCUCUUUCUCCCAGCCCAUCGACUUCUUUUUGCUUCCUUGUUUUACUGCCUGUGAUCAGAGAGCUGGCCAUUUAAGUCCUUCAGGAAGACUGCAUUUGUUGGUUUUCCUUGCAUCUGGAUGGAGUUAUAUGACUGAAAUAAGGCCAUGGAAUUUCCCCGGCCUGGCCUUUGCAGACACCCUACAUGCUCUCCAUACCUCUUUUUUCCCUUCCAAAUGGCAAAGAGCUGCUUGAUAUUCAUUAGACUUCAAAUGUGCAAAAACUAAACUUGUAUUGUGUUCAUCUCUAUAC